rnacentral:rRNA from 1 species
AGCGAACGCUGGCGGCAGGCUUAACACAUGCAAGUCGAACGGUAAGGCCCUUCGGGGUACACGAGUGGCGAACGGGUGAGUAACACGUGGGUGAUCUGCCCUGCACUUCGGGAUAAGCCUGGGAAACUGGGUCUAAUACCGGAUAGGACUCCUGGCUUCAUGGUUGGGGGUGGAAAGCUUUUGCGGUGUGGGAUGGGCCCGCGGCCUAUCAGCUUGUUUGUGGGGUAAGGGCCUACCAAGGCGACGACGGGUUGCCGGACUGAGCGGGUGAACGGUCAGACUGGGACUGAGAUACGGCCCAGACUCCUACGGGAGGGAGCAGUGGGGAAUAUUGCACAAUGGGCGCAAGCCUGAUGCAGCGACGACGCGUGAGGGAUGACGGCCUUCGGGUUGUAAACCUCUUUCAGCUAUGACGAAGCGCAAGUGACGGUAGUAGCAGAAGAAGGACCGGCCAACUACGUGCCAGCCGCCGCAGUAA